GAUCAUUACAAGUUGACCCCGGCCCCUCGGGCCGGGAUGUUCACAACCCUUCGUUGUCCGACUCUGUUGCCUCCGGGGCGACCCUGCCUCCGGGCGGGGGCCCCGGGUGGACAUUUCAAACUCUUGCGUAACUUUGCAGUCUGAGUAAAUUUAAUUAAUAAAUUAAAACUUUCAACAACGGAUCUCUUGGUUCUGGCAUCGAUGAAGAACGCAGCGAAAUGCGAUAAGUAAUGUGAAUUGCAGAAUUCAGUGAAUCAUCGAAUCUUUGAACGCACAUUGCGCCCCCUGGUAUUCCGGGGGGCAUGCCUGUUCGAGCGUCAUUUCACCACUCAAGCCUCGCUUGGUAUUGGGCGACGCGGUCCGCCGCGCGCCUCAAAUCGACCGGCUGGGUCUUUCGUCCCCUCAGCGUUGUGGAAACUAUUCGCUAAAGGGUGCCGCGGGAGGCCACGCCGUAAAACAACCCCAUUUCUAAGGUUGACCUCGGAUCAGGUAGGGAUACCCGCUGAACUUAAGCAUAUCAAUAAGCGGAGGAAAGGGCGAAUU
rnacentral:rRNA from 1 species